AGCAAAGCCUUUCCGUGUCAGUGGCACAUCCCAGUCCUACGAUCACCUAGGAGGUGGCUCAAAGCCUGCUCCAGACCACAGCACCCAUGGAGGCUUCCCAGUGGAAUUAAAGAGUAAGGAGAUCCGGGAGCACCAGACAUUGGUCAGAAGGAAGUCCCUGCCACUGGCAGUGAAUUGAUGGUCAUCAUGGGACUACACAAGGAAAAAAUUAUGACAAUACAAUGGGAAGAAGAGGAAGUCAGAAAGGGUUCUGAUAUUUUUAAAACCUGGUAAAAGCAAUACUGGAAUUCAGGUCAUUAACUUCAGCUGAAAACAGAGAGAAAAAUAGACUCCUGUCAUUAAGCCACAGAAUUUUGUAACAGGUGUAUGGUAAAGUGCAGAGUGUUGUUUUGGUUUUUUUUUU